rnacentral:rRNA from 1 species
AUUGAACGCUGGCGGCAUGCCUUACACAUGCAAGUCGAACGGCAGCGGGGGAGAAGCUUGCUUUUCCUGCCGGCGAGUGGCGAACGGGUGAGUAAUACAUCGGAACGUGCCCUGUAGUGGGGGAUAACUAGUCGAAAGAUUAGCUAAUACCGCAUACGACCUGAGGGUGAAAGUGGGGGACCGCAAGGCCUCAUGCUAUAGGAGCGGCCGAUGUCUGAUUAGCUAGUUGGUGGGGUAAAGGCCUACCAAGGCGACGAUCAGUAGCUGGUCUGAGAGGACGAUGAGGCACACUGGGACUGGGCCACGGUCCAGACUCCUACGGGAGGAAGCAGUGGGGAAUUUUGGACAAUGGGCGAAAGCCUGAUCCAGCACUGCCGCGUGCAGGACGAAGGCCUUCGGGUUGUAAACUGCUUUUGUACGGAGAGAAACGGUCCUCUAUAAUACAGGGGGCUAAUGACGGUACCGUAAGAAUAAGCACCGGCUAACUACGUGCCAGCAGCCGCCGUAA